rnacentral:rRNA from 1 species
UGGGGAAUUUUGGACAAUGGGCGAAAGCCUGAUCCAGCAAUGCCGCGUGUGUGAAGAAGGCCUUCGGGUUGUAAAGCACUUUUGUCCGGAAAGAAAUCCUUGGCUCUAAUACAGUCGGGGGAUGACGGUACCGGAAGAAUAAGCACCGGCUAACUACGUGCCAGCAGUCGCGGUAAUACGUAGGGUGCAAGCGUUAAUCGGAAUUACUGGGCGUAAAGCGUGCGCAGGCGGUUUGCUAAGACCGAUGUGAAAUCCCCGGGCUCAACCUGGGAACUGCAUUGGUGACUGGCAGGCUAGAGUAUGGCAGAGGGGGGUAGAAUUCCACGUGUAGCAGUGAAAUGCGUAGAGAUGUGGAGGAAUACCGAUGGCGAAGGCAGCCCCCUGGGCCAAUACUGACGCUCAUGCACGAAAGCGUGGGGAGCAAACAGGAUUAGAUACCCUGGUAGUCCACGCCCUAAACGAUGUCAACUAGUUGUUGGGGAUUCAUUUCCUUAGUAACGUAGCUAACGCGUGAAGUUGACCGCCUGGGGAGUACGGUCGCAAGAUUAAAACUUAAAGGAAUUGACGGGGUCAUA